GGGAUAUUAGUUUAAUAAUGACACCACCUUGUCAAGGCGAAGUUACGGGUUAGACCCCCGUAUAUCCCU
rnacentral:tRNA from 1 species